AGUGAACGCUGGCGGUAGGCCUAACACAUGCAAGUCGAACGGCAGCACAGUAAGAGCUUGCUCUUACGGGUGGCGAGUGGCGGACGGGUGAGGAAUACAUCGGAAUCUACUUUUUCGUGGGGGAUAACGUAGGGAAACUUACGCUAAUACCGCAUACGACCUACGGGUGAAAGCAGGGGAUCUUCGGACCUUGCGCGAUUGAAUGAGCCGAUGUCGGAUUAGCUAGUUGGCGGGGUAAAGGCCCACCAAGGCGACGAUCCGUAGCUGGUCUGAGAGGAUGAUCAGCCACAUUGGAACUGAGACACGGUCCAGACUCCUACGGGAGGCAGCAGUGGGGAAUAUUGGACAAUGGGCGCAAGCCUGAUCCAGCCAUCCCGCGUGGGUGAAGAAGGCCUUCGGGUUGUAAAGCCCUUUUGUUGGGAAAGAAAAGCAGCAGGUUGAUACCCCGCUGUUCUGACGGUACCCAAAGAAUAAGCACCGGCUAACUUCGUG
rnacentral:rRNA from 1 species